UGGGGAAUAUUGGGCAAUGGACGAAAGUCUGACCCAGCGACGCCGCGUGCGGGAUGAAGGCCUUCGGGUUGUAAACCGCUUUCAGCAGGGAAUAAGCGCAAGUGAAGGUACCUGCAGAAGAAGCACCGGCUAACUAUGUGCCAGCAGCCGCGGUAAUACAUAGGGUGCAAGCGUUGUCCGGAAUUAUUGGGCGUAAAGAGCUCGUAGGUGGUUUGUUACGUCGGUUGUGAAAUUCAGGGGCUCAACCCCUGACUUGCAGCCGAUACGGGCAAGCUAGAGUUUGGUAGGGGAGACUGGAAUUCCUGGUGUAGCGGUGGAAUGCGCAGAUAUCAGGAGGAACACCGAUGGCGAAGGCAGGUCUCUGGGCCAAUACUGACACUGAGGAGCGAAAGCGUGGGGA
rnacentral:rRNA from 1 species